rnacentral:rRNA from 1 species
UAGCGUAUAUUAAAGUUGUUGCAGUUAAAAAGCUCGUAGUUGGAUUUCGGAAUGGGCCAGUUGGUCCGCCGCAAGGUGAGUUACUGACUGGUUUGUUCUUCUUCGCAAAGACUGCGUGUGCUCUUUACUGAGUGUACGUAGGAUUUACGACGUUUACUUUGAAAAAAUUAGAGUGUUCAAAGCAGGCUAUCGCUUGAAUACAUGAGCAUGGAAUAAUGGAAUAGGACUUUGGUUCUAUUUUGUUGGUUUCUAGGACCGAAGUAAUGAUUAAGAGGGACAAUUGGGGGCAUCCGUAUUUCGUUGUC